UGGGGAAUAUUGCACAAUGGGCGAAAGCCUGAUGCAGCGACGCCGCGUGAGGGAUGACGGCCUUCGGGUUGUAAACCUCUUUCAGCAGGGACGAAGCGCAAGUGACGGUACCUGCAGAAGAAGCACCGGCUAACUACGUGCCAGCAGCCGCGGUAAUACGUAGGGUGCAAGCGUUGUCCGGAAUUACUGGGGGUAAAGAGUUCGUAGGCGGUUUGUCGCGUCGUUUGUGAAAACCAGCAGCUCAACUGCUGGCUUGCAGGCGAUACGGGCAGACUUGAGUACUGCAGGGGAGACUGGAAUUCCUGGUGUAGCGGUGAAAUGCGCAGAUAUCAGGAGGAACACCGGUGGCGAAGGCGGGUCUCUGGGCAGUAACUGACGCUGAGGAACGAAAGCGUGGGUAGCGAACAGG
rnacentral:rRNA from 1 species